GGCUCAGUAACACGUAGCUAACCUACCCUUAGGACGGGGAUAACCCUGGGAAACUGGGGACAAUCCCCGAUAGGCGAAGACUCCUGGAACGGGCCUUCACCCAAAAAGUGUUACGAUCAUGCUCGUAACAUCGCUUGAGGACGGGGCCGCGACCGAUCAGGCUGUUGGUGAGGCAACGGCUCACCAAACCUAUAACCGGUACGGGCCGUGGGAGCGGGAGCUCGGAGAUGGGAACUGAGACAAGGUCCCAGGCCCUACGGGGCGCAGCAGUCGCGAAAACUUGUCAAUGCACGAAAGUGUGAACGGGCUACCCCGAGUGCCGUCCGCUGAGGAUGGCUUUUCUCUGCUGUAAGGAGGCGGAGGAAUAAGGCGAGGGCAAGUCUGGUGUCAGCCGCCGCGGUAAUACCAGCUCGCCGAGUGGUAGGGAUGAUUAUUGGGCUUAAAGCGUCCGUAGCCGGCCCUUCAAGUCUCUCGUUAAAUCCAGCGAUUCAAUCGUUGGACUGCGGGAGAUACUGUCANGCUAGGGGGCGGGAGAAGCCGACGGUAUUUNCGGGGUAGGGGUAAAAUCCUAUAAUCCCNGGAAGACCACCAGUGGCGUAGGCGGUCGGCUAGCACGCGCUCGACGGUGAGGNACGANAGCUGNNGNAGCGANNCCGAUUAGAUNCCCNNGGUAAGUCCCACGCUGUAAACGAUGC
rnacentral:rRNA from 1 species